GGCUCCAAGAAUCCGAAAGAAUAUUUACAGAGGAAUAAGGCAAAGGCCAUGGGGAAAAUGGGCAGCUGAGAUUAGAGACCCACAAAAAGGAGUUAGAGUAUGGCUAGGUACCUUCAGCACUGCUGAAGAAGCUGCUCGUGCCUAUGAUGAGGCAGCCAAGCGCAUCCGUGGUGACAAGGCUAAGCUCAAUUUUCCUACACCAACACCCCUAGCAGCACCAGCACCAGCACCAGCAGCACCUACUGAAGUCGAAGCUCCAGUUCUGCCACCGCCAUCCAAGAAAAGCUGCACCAUGAGCAGUCCUGAAACCAAACCAGUUGAAUAUGGGCCGAAAGAGGAAAUAACAAGCCUCGAGACUUUUCUUGGAUUGGAGCCUGAACAGAUGGUGGCUCAGCUGAAUGGAAGUGGAUGUGAAGGUGGUGACUUUGUGG
rnacentral:lncRNA from 1 species